rnacentral:sRNA from 1 species
UGAAUGCUUUGCAUUUGAAGUGGCAUCCUUUUUUUAUUUUUCUUAAAAAAAGAUAUAACGAAAAGCAGGAAAUAGC